rnacentral:tRNA from 1 species
UAAGUUUUAAGUAUAUCAAACUAGGAGCCUUCAAAGCCCAAAUAAUAAGUAAAAUCUUGUAAACUUAA